ensembl:snoRNA small nucleolar RNA SNORA31
CUGCAUCCAUUGACAGCCUGAAGCUAUAUGUCUGGCUAUUCGGGUCUUAUUGAUAAGGAUGCUAAAGCAACAUCCCAGCGCUUUCUGUCUGCUCUGCCCAUAGCGAUACAGAUUGAAAAUGGGAUAACAUGC